GCACUUUCUUUUCUAGGCCAUGGGCCAAUUUGUAAUGGGCUUUAAGCCUCUAAACAUUGAUUUAAUGGGCCAAUGUGUAUUCUGCUUUAAGCCUCUAAAAAUACAUAUUCAAGUAUCCACAAAACCUUCCAAUUUCUUCAUUUCUACGAUGGAGGAGGCCUAUGCCAGAUCCGUUGCUGAGGUUAUUUUAUUGAUUAAUGCACCAGUAGGGGUGAUCACAGAAACAACUGCUGAGAAAACUCUUGAA
rnacentral:misc_RNA from 1 species